CUUGUUACUCCCUCCGUUUCACAAUGUAAAACAUCCUAGCAUUUUUCACAUUCAUAUUGAUACUAAUGAAUCUAGACAUCUUACAUUGUGAAACGGUGAAACGGA
rnacentral:miRNA from 1 species